GAUUUGGCUUUGAUAAAUGGUUGUUAACUCUUCAUGUUCGAAGAAUAGUUCAACCUAUUUGUGUUAAGCACUAAUAAAAUUAAUUAGAAAGAGUUAACUUUAUAGUAUUAAGUAUAAGAAUGAUUCUUACCUUAUCCAUGUUAACAAUUUUCAUGUACCAACAAGCCUUGGAAGCGUUAAAGUGCCUCAGCCCCAUGUUUGAAUUUCUCUUUUCAGCAAUGCAGCAACAGUGAAAUCUCUAGGAGGACUGAGUAAGGAAUCUUCCAGAAGAAAUUCAAUUUAUCUUGUGGGGCCACUAUUCAAGACUUAAGGUCACCAUUUGGCUAUAACCGCCGUCCACACACUAAAGAUGUAAGGUAUGAUUUUCAGUUACAUGUUAUUGAUACAUUCUUUUUUGCUUUGUUUGGUAGGCUGUUCUACCUUUUUUUUGAAAUUGCAGAAUAGUAAAAGUGCACGAAUCAUCUGGUGUGGCUUUCUCCACUACCAUUAUUCGUCCCAUUUUUAUUCUUAUAAAAUUUAAAUAAUUCACUUGAGAAAACUUGAGGGGCAUAUUGAUACUGAAAAUACUUUAUAAAGUAUGAAUGAUACAAAACUCGCAUCAGCCUUAUUAUUUUUCCUUUGGAAUUGGAAUGCUACAAGCUUGGACUUCUUUUAAUUUCUUAUGCGUUACUUUUACCAAUAUACUUUCUAUGUGAAAAAUAUUUCUGCUUAUUUUUCAUUUGAGGUGAUGGUGUUUUGCUAUGUUUCUAUUAUUAAUAUGUUAUUCAUCUUGAAGUCAGUGAUUCAUUUGCGUUAAGCUUCUUCCAGAUUGAUUUUCCAGGCUAAAAUGGCAAGAACUUGCCUCCUUUCACUUAAGCGUUACUGUAAAAUAUGGGUUCAUCAAAUUUCUCUUAUAAUAUUUUUUAUUGGGAGGUUCCUUCCAUACCAUCAUAUUUAACUCUUGGUUUGUACAUACAUAGAGGGAAUAAACUUCUACAUAGGAUGGUAAUAGUAUAAGGAGAA